GACGAACGCUGGCGGCGUGCUUAACACAUGCAAGUCGAGCGGUAAGGCCCUUUCGGGGGUACGACGAGCGGCGAACGGGUGAGUAACACGUGGGUGACCUGCCCUCAGCUCUGGGAUAAGCCUGGGAAACCGGGUCUAAUACCGGAUAUGACUCCAUGACGCAUGUUGUGGGGUGGAAAGCCUUGUGCGGCUGAGGAUGGGCCCGCGGCCUAUCAGCUUGUUGGUGGGGUGAUGGCCUACCAAGGCGACGACGGGUAGCCGGCCUGAGAGGGCGACCGGCCACACUGGGGACUGAGACACGGCCCAGACUCCUACGGGAGGCAGCAGUGGGGAAUCUUGCGCAAUGGGCGAAAGCCUGACGCAGCGACGCCGCGUGAGGGAUGACGGCCUGGU
rnacentral:rRNA from 1 species